rnacentral:rRNA from 1 species
UACGUAGGCAGCAAGCGUUGUUCGGAUUCAUUGGGCGUAAAGGGUGCGUAGGUGGCGAGGUAAGUUGGAUGUGAAAUCCCGGGGCUCAACCCCGGAACUGCAUUCAAUACUGCCUUGCUGGAGUACUGGAGAGGAGAUUGGAAUUUACGGUGUAGCAGUGAAAUGCGUAGAUAUCGUAAGGAAGACCAGUGGCGAAGGCGGAUCUCUGGACAGUUACUGACGCUGAGGCUCGAAAGCGUGGGGAGCAAACAGG